ACUAAAAUUACUGCAAUUUCCUAGAUGGUACCAUUUAUUAACAUUAUAUUAACAUUUAUUUUGAAAGGAUAUCUAAACAGACAUAGGGAAAGUGAAGGAGGCCAAUAUCAGGAUAAAACCACAUAAACUUACAUGCUUUUCAUCUGUUUCCUUAACCUACCACUUAAAAGCAUUACAUUCUGCCAGAACAGAUCUUAUGACCGAGCAUAAAUGUGUGUCAUCUGUGUCUAAUUGCUUUUCAGCAAUUCAGAGGUGAACAGUGAAGAUGUAAUUUAUAUGAAUAAAAAGUAAUAGAAAACAUUGCAGGGCCACAAUGAAGGCUAUUGUUUAUUUAUAUAUAAAUCCAAACAAUGUAAAUCACAAGGUCUUGAAUUUGUUCACAGCAUAUCUGAACCAAACACAUCAGGAGACAUGCUGCAACGUCUCCCUGCACACACGUAAAAACCACAACAAAAAAACGUCUCAAGGCACUGAACCGGAACAAAGUGACGACAACAACGCGAUAUGUCAUUGUAGUACGUGCUUUGGAAAGCGCGGGUCCCGUUUGCGAUUGUGCUGUGAUUGGCCAAUACCGCCCUACUCUGUCUGUGAUUUACUGGGUUAUGCAUGACUGACAGUUGCUGGCUUCAAUGGAAAAACGGAUGAGGACGUUAAAGAUCAAUCAUUUUAAACACUUUUCCCGCACAAUCGCGUCCCGUUUGGGUUGGUCCAUAUCAAUGGGUUGGUUAACAGGAUAUGUUUGAGAAGAAGAAGAAGGCAUCCAAUUUGCUGUUGGGAACAUCAGUCUUUAACAUGACUCAGAAGAAGUUCCCCGUAUCUGACACUAAGCCGGUGUCUGUCAACCCAACAACAUCGUGCGGCGGUUCCCGUUUGGUCGACUUCGAGUGAACAGCAGCUCUUGCCCGAUGUCAAGGCUUGAGGAAGGACGAAGCUAUAGAUAAGUGAUGCGAGUUGAUUUCAUGGAGUAAACUGAAAAGGUGAUUGCUGCACUGCAGUUAAGGAUGUCAAAAGAUUACACCUGUCGUAGUUGUGGUGCUUCAGUGAAUACCCUAAAAGGGUAUGUGAUGCAUCAAGGGCUUCAUAAAAAUGAACCACAUUAUCAGUAUGCAUGUUACAUGGAAAGUUGUAAGUUUCACUUCAGAAAUUACAAUGCUUUUAAAUGUCAUGUUUCCCGCAGCCAUCGACGCUCAUCUAACGCGUUGCAGUGUCAAACUUUGCAGGCACCCUUUCUAUGUCAACUUCCACAUUGUCAGAAACAGUUGAUCGACCUUAAAGACCUUCUCUGUCACCUAAAAUCUCACACUUCAAGAAGAGAGGUAGUGCAUUGCCCAUUUAAAAACUGUGAUAAAUCAUUUUCAGUGACCUCAUCUUUCACAGCCCACCUAUCUAGGAAGCACCAAAACCCCACAGCUCUGCAUCUCUCUGGUGCAUACUGUCCUCUUUCAGUUCCUAGUGAGUCUCAGUCCUCUGUUGCUGAAAGCCAGCCAGAUGAAGGGUCAGCUGUUGAUGAGCCUGAGGCAGAUGUCCCAGACCUUGCUCAAAUGAAAAGUUUGUACAUGAGAAACCUGUGCAUGUUUUAUAUGAAACUACAGGCCAAACAACUUAUCCCUUCCUCUACAAUCCAGUCGAUCGUAGAAGAAAUUAAUGGUCUUAAUGGAAUGUGCCUGCAGUACACUAAAAGUAAACUGAAAGCAUCUCUUCAAACAAAAACUGAACUAUCGGAGACUGAAAUUGAAGAUGUUUUGAAGACCCUAGAUGAUGUAGAUAUUCAUGGGUCCUGCAGCUCCUCCCUUUCCACAGAGUACAACAGAAAACGGUAUUUUGAGGAGAAUUUUCCAUACGUGCAUCCACAACCCAUUUUUUUGGGGUUUGAUGAAAAUAGAAAAGAGCAAUAUGCUCAGUAUGUUCCCAUAAAGCAUACAUUGACAACUCUACUAAAACAUACUGAUGUACUGGAACAGGGGUCUACAUCUGAGAAUGAAAGUUCAACUCAUAUUUUAAAUGAUGUGUGUGAUGGAUCGGUAUUCAAAUCCAGUCCUCUUUUCGCUGAGUCAGGUCUCACUUUAAAAGUGAUACUUUAUCAGGAUGCUUUUGAGGUGGUUAAUCCCCUUGGCUCGGCAAAGAAAAAACAUAAGGUGCUUGGAGUCUACUUCACUCUAGCAAAUUUUGAUCCUUUUCAUCGAUCCACUGUUGACAACUUGCAGCUUUUGCUUUUGUGCCGAGAAGCUGAUUUCAAAUAUUUUGGCCACGAGAAAGUGUUCUCUCAAUUGAUAACCGAUCUUGGAGAACUGGAGACGAAUGGACUGAAUAUUUCUGGAAACAUUGUUAAGGCAACUGUCUUUUGCAUUGCCGGGGACAAUUUAGGGUCACAUAAUAUUGGUGGAUUCACUGAAAAUUUCAGUAGGUCUCAACAUUUCUGCCGAUAUUGUCACGUAACCAGAAAUGAGCUAGACAAUUUGGAACACCAUGCUCCAAUCCGUACAGUACAAGAGUACAAUGACACUGUUCAAGAACUGCAAAAUGGUGAUGCGAGUAUAGUCAGAGGGGUGAAAUUUAACUCUGUCUUUAAUUCACUAACAUUUUUUCAUGUUUGCCAGCCAGGCCUCCCACCAUGUAUUGGCCAUGAUCUCUUUGAGGGUGUCGUGGCAUCUGACCUUGCCAUUUACCUGACCUAUUUUGUCAAGGUGAAGAAAUUCUUCACAUAUUCACAGCUUAAUCGAAGGAUCAAACAGUUUAGUUACCAGGGAUCUGAUGGUAGUUCUAAACCAGCUGAAGUUUCAGUAAAGGGUUUGAAAUUAGGUGGCCAGGCAGCAGAAAACUGCUCUUUGCUGAGACUUCUCCCCAUUAUCAUUGGUGAAAAGAUCACAGACACAGAGGAUCCUGUAUGGCAACUGACUGUCCAGCUGAAAGAGCUAGUGGAAUUGAUUUGUGCCCCUACAAUAUCAGUACCCCAGGUUGCAUUGCUCAAUGUUCUAAUUGGUGAUUAUCUGGAAGGAAGGAAAGAUUUUUUUCCAUUGCAAAAACUAAAACCAAAGCACCAUUACCUCACCCACUACCCUGCCUUAAUAUUGAAGUUUGGCCCACUCAUUCGGCUGUGGACAAUGAGGUUCGAGAGUAAGCACUCAUACUUCAAAAGAUGUAUCCGAAGGACACAAAACUUCAAAAAUGUAUGUCACACACUUGCAAAGAACCAUCAGCUGCUGCAGGCAUACCUUCAUUCUGGCUCAUUUUUUGCACCCUCAUUGGUGGUUAAGAACUCCACUCCUUUCCAUGCUGAACUGUACAGUGAAGCAGUGCGCUCUGCAGUAGGAGAAACCUUGGUAAACGAACCCAAUGUUGAGUCAGCUUACGAGGUGCAGUGGAAAGGCACUCGGUACAAAAAGGGACUCUUUCUGUGUUUAAACCAAGGUGAGGCACUUGAAUUCGGACAGAUUGAGCUCAUGCUUGUGUUGCAGGACCAGCAUGUGUACUUUAUUGUUACACCUCAUGACGUGUCCUAUAUGCCAGCAUUUGCAUUGUAUGAAGUGAAACAAGCAAGGCAGAGCUUGAUAUGCUGGAAGCCUGAUAAAAAACUAGAUUAUUAUCCUUUGCCUGUGUACAAGCUUUGUGGGACAAGGGUAAUUUCCCUUAAGCAUAGCAUUGUUGACUCUCAGUAAGUUAAAAUCUGACACUAAUGCUUGAAGAACAGUAUUUUUCAUCCCUUCUAGUCAUGGAUACAGAGAGCCCACUUCUGUCUUUCAUCAAAACAAGUCUUCCUAAAGUGAGAGACCCUGAGCCUUUGCUGGAGUGUCUGCAAGGUUUAGGAGUUGAGGACCUGGAAGACCUGACCUACCUGCAGGAGAGUGACCUCCUUUCUGUCCUGAGACCAAUUGAAGCCAGGAAACUUCUGUCACUGCUCCAAAAGACAAGCCAACAAGAUGUCUUGGACAGUCCUCCGAGCAACCAACAGUUCAGCAGAGCCAGUACCAGUACAAAUCCAGUAUCACAGUCUGACAAGAUGCACCUUUCUGGUGGUAACAGCUCAGAAACUACAUGUUCACCGCGGUCAACAAGUAGUUCAAGUAUGGAUACCACACCUCGUCGACUGUCUAACAGCUGGCAUUUUAAAUUUCAAAUUCCUUGGCAGAAAAUUCCAUCUGACAUCAUCAGAAAGCUGGAAACCGGAAACCGGCCAACAAAAAGUGAGAGACUUGAAAUCAUACGGCUCAUUGUUAGUGAAAUCAUAACCGCGUGCCCAACACCUGGGAAGAAACAUAUCAGUGAGAUAGCAAGGAUGAUGACAAAGGCCUACCCUGUGGCAUUUACUGAUGUCAUUGAAGGUGAAAUUGUAGGCAGUGGGUAUGACUCUAUAACGAAACAGAUGGUCAGCAGAGUGGAUAACCUGAAGAGGGGAAACACUUCCCUUUCCUUAAAGAGACAAGUUUUUAGCAGCAGCAAAGGAGAGGAUAGCCCAACUCGGAAAAGAAGACUAGACACUUACGGGUGUAUAAACUGGCAACCAACACGACUGCCACCUGAUGAAACCCCUGAAUCUCAGAAACAUGCACAAGAAGAGUUAAAGAAAAUGUGGAGAGAAAGAUGCUGUGACAGCAAAGCCAUUGAGAAUAUGAUGAGAGACACUUUCUUCACUCAGAGAAAAGACAUUAUCAGUGGGACUGAGGCGUCUGACUUGACAAAGGAAUGGCCAUACCUGUUUGAGACCAGUGGCAUGAAGACUCAUUUUAAAGAGCUUAUAGGUGUGGACAUGGAAGACAAAAACAUGGCAAAUAAAUGUGCCAGAGUUAUUUCAUUUCUUAAAUCUGGUGACAAGACAGGGAAGAUGGAGACCAUCUUCAGGGAAAUGGAAACAUCAAGCAAAAAUGUUGCAGAUGUGAAUGUUGCAGCGUUUCUUCCGCUGCUCCUCAAGUACUUCAAUGAAGAAGAAGAAGAAGAAGAACAGAUGUUCUACAAAGUGGAUCAAACAACCCUGCCCUCUGAAGUGGACUGUGCUGGACUUCCAAGUACACCAUGUAUCGUUGUGUGUGGAAACUCGACUUUGGCAGCGGAGAAUUUCAUGCUCUCUGUGGACCAGACCAUUGUGAAUGGCCACAUCAGAAUCUUCAGUGAUGCUGUUAUGCUGAUGUUUGGUUCGUACUACUGUAUGAACAUAUCUUACCCAGCAGCCCAGGCAUCAACUUUGGAGUUCUUACAGAGGUGCCUCUUCAAGAUAAACCCAGACAAGGGAUCAAAAGUGGACCGGAACGCUACCAAAAGAAAACUGGCAGUCAAUCCAAAGGUUCUCACCCUGAUCACCAGAAUUGCAGACUAUGAUUGGAGGGAAUAAGAAGUGCUUAUGGAUAGUUUGUCCAAAUUACUGACUGUUAUGGAUUAUUAUCCAGUGAGGUCAUGUAAGCUAUUAUGUAGCUUUGUUAUUAAUAUUGUGGAUUAUUUGGCCAAGUUAUGGAUGCCUUAGAAUAGAGUCAAGUGAGGUUUGACCAAGUUUGUCAUCAAUGUUUUGUAUGUAUUGUUACUUGACCCAGGUUAUGGAAACAUUGGAUAGAGCAUGGAUUCUUUUCCAUGGUUUAAUGUAUGUUUGUAAUCCAUGAAUGCCGACUUGACCAAGUUAUGGAUGUGUCACGUUAAAAUUGUACCGGGGGCGAAAAUUGUACCGGCCUACGUCAUCAGUUGUUUACAUCUUGAAAACCUGCCUGGCAACAGACGACGCGAUCGUCUGUUGCCAGACAGGUUUUCAAGAUGUAAACAACUGACGUAGGCCGGUACAAUUUUCGCCCCCGGUACAAUUUUAACGUGACAGAUGCCUUGGAUAGAAAUAUUGAUGUAAAUUGGUGUCUCAACUUGGUGUCAUUUUCAUUUAAUUGUUGUAAUUUUUUUAAUAUUGAUGUUAGAAUGGUAACAGUUAAAUACAAAUACAGAGAAUGGGAAAUUAUAGCUUUUCUUGUUCAGCUUAAGCCUCUUUUCCCACUGGCCAAAAACCGGUUAAACCAUUUACAAUAAUUCUGGUGUUAUCAGGUGAGUUUAGUUUGAAGUAUAAGUUGAAAGUCUUUGAAUUAUUCAGGAAAUCAAUGUAAAAGAAAAACAAAAACUAUAUUUACAAUAAACAGUAAAUUGUUGCAAUU